UACGGAGGGUGCGAGCGUUAUUCGGAAUUACCGGGCGUAAAGCGCGUGUAGGCGGUUUUGCAAGUCUGAUGUGAAAGCCCCGGGCUUAACCUGGGAAGUGCAUUGGAAACUGCAGGACUUGAGGACCGGAGAGGAAGGGGGAAUUCCCGGUGUAGAGGUGAAAUUCGUAGAGAUCGGGAGGAAUACCAGUGGCGUAGGCGCCCUUCUGGACGGUUACUGACGCUGAGACGCGAAAGCGUGGGGAGCAAACAGG
rnacentral:rRNA from 1 species